rnacentral:rRNA from 1 species
GACGAACGCUGGCGGCGUGCUUAACACAUGCAAGUCGAACGGAAAGGCCCAGCUUGCUGGGUACUCGAGUGGCGAACGGGUGAGUAACACGUGGGUGAUCUGCCCUGCACUCUGGGAUAAGCCUGGGAAACUGGGUCUAAUACCGGAUAUGACCAACUGUCGCAUGGUGGUUGGUGGAAAGCUUUUGCGGUGUGGGAUGGGCCCGCGGCCUAUCAGCUUGUUGGUGGGGUAAUGGCCUACCAAGGCGACGACGGGUAGCCGACCUGAGAGGGUGAUCGGCCACACUGGGACUGAGACACGGCCCAGACUCCUACGGGAGGCAGCAGUGGGGAAUAGUGCACAAUGGGCGCAAGCCGGAUGCAGCGACGCCGCGUGAGGGAUGACGGCCUUCGGGUUGUAAACCUCUUUCACCAGGGACGAAGCGUGAGUGACGGUACCUGGAGAAGAAGCACCGGCCAACUACGU